AACGAACGCUGGCGGCAGGCCUAACACAUGCAAGUCGAGCGCUCUAGCAAUAGAGAGCGGCGCACGGGUGAGUAACGCGUAGGAAUCUACCUUGUAGUACGGAACAACAGUUGGAAACGACUGCUAAUACCGUAUACGCCCUUCGGGGGAAAGAAUUUCGCUAUAAGAUGAGCCUGCGUUAGAUUAGCUAGUUGGUGAGGUAAUGGCUCACCAAGGCUCCGAUCUAUAGCUGGUCUGAGAGGAUGAUCAGCCACACUGGGACUGAGACACGGCCCAGACUCCUACGGGAGGCAGCAGUGGGGAAUAUUGGGCAAUGGGCGCAAGCCUGACCCAGCCAUGCCGCGUGAGUGAUGACGGCCUUAGGGUUGUAAAGCUCUUUUAGUGGUGAGGAUGAUGACGGUAACCACAGAAAAAGCCCCGGCUAACUUCGUGCCAGCAGCCGCCGCGG
rnacentral:rRNA from 1 species